GAACUGGACUGGCUUCUUUCUUUCUCUUUCUCUCCCUCCCUCCCGACUCCCCUCCUUUUCCCUCGCCGCCCCCUCCCCAUGCACGCACAGAGCCCCGUCUCUCGCGCUCGGUCCUGCAGACAGACAGGGAGACAGAAGAUGGCUGACUCGCCAGGGCAACCCACGGUCCGGCCCGCCCGCAUCCCCAACCCUCCCAGAGCCGCUUUCUCCUUUGACACCCGUUGACGCUUUCGCCCAGCGCUAAAAGCCGCCCCCGUCCUCCCUCCCUUCCUCUCCACAACCUUCCCCCCCCGAAAGCUUUUCCCAAAUAAUACCAGCAGCCAUUUCAUCUCCACCAAAGUAGAUACACGCACACAUUACACGCGCGCGGGCGCGCGCCCACACACACACACACACACACAUACACGCACGCACACCAAACAAAAAAAUAAAAUAAAAAAUAAAAUAAAAAAUGGCAGAAAUGGAGAAAGAAGGGAGACCUCCAGAAAAUAAAAGAAGCAGGAAGCCGGCUCAUCCCGUGAAAAGGGAAAUCAAUGAAGAGAUGAAGAAUUUUGCAGAAAACACUAUGAAUGAGCUCCUUGGCUGGUAUGGUUAUGAUAAGGUUGAAUUAAAAGAUGGAGAAGAUAUUGAAUUCAGGAAUUACUCUGCAGAUGGGGAGAGCCGACAGCACAUUUCUGUUCUGAAAGAAAAUUCUUUGCCAAAAACAAAAUUACCUGAAGACAGUGUUAUGUCACCAUACAAUAUAAACACAAACUAUCCAGGGCUUACCACAGGAAAUGGAAUCUCAGACUCACCAGCAGGAUCAAAGGAACAUGGCAAUGUACCCAUUAUUGUACCAUUAAUUCCACCACCUUUUAUAAAGCCACCAGCAGAAUACAGAAUAAUAGAGUUGGAAGAGACCUUGGACUGGAGGUCUUUUAGUUCAACCCCCUGCUCAAGCUAUACCAAUUCAGACAAGUGGCUGUCCAGUCUCUUCUUAAAAGCGUCCAGUGAUGAAGCACUCACAACUUCUGAAGAAGAUGAUAUAUCAAAUGUACAAAUCAUGUGUGCCUGGUGCCAGAAAGUGGGAAUCAAACGCUAUUCUCUGAGUAUGGGGAGUGAAGUGAAAUGCUUCUGCAGUGAAAAAUGCUUUGCAGCUUGCCGGAGAGCAUACUUCAAAAGAAACAAGGCUAGAGAUGAAGAUGGACAUGCUGAAAAUUUUCCCCAGCAGCACUAUGCUAAGGAAACUCCAAGACUUGCCUUCAAGAAUAACUGCGAACUACUUGUGUGUGACUGGUGUAAGCACAUAAGACACACAAAAGAGUAUCUGGAUUUUGGGGACGGGGAAAGAAGGCUUCAGUUCUGCAGUGCAAAAUGUCUCAAUCAGUACAAAAUGGACAUUUUCUACAAAGAGACACAGGCCAAUCUUCCAGCUGGACUCUGCAGCACAUUACAUCCUCCAGUAGAAAAUAAAGCAGAAGGCACUGGGGUGCAGCUGCUGACUCCAGAUUCUUGGAAUAUAUCGCUAGCAGAUGCUCGGAGAAAGGCCCCAUCCCCAGUGUCUGCAGCUGGCCAAAUUCAAGGUCCUGGAUCAUCCACGUCUACCACUGCCUCUCCGUCUGAUACUGCCAACUGCUCUGUCACUAAAAUCCCAACACCGGUUCCCAAACCUAUUCCCAUCAAUGAGAAUCCAAAUAUUCCACCAGUUUCUGUUCAGCCACCUGCUAGUAUUGUGCCUCCAAUCGGUGUCCCACCUCGAAGUCCGCCCAUGGUGAUGACAAACCGUGGACCAGUUCCCUUGCCCAUAUUCAUGGAGCAGCAAAUUCUGCAGCAGAUUCGUCCACCGUUUAUUCGAGGGCCACCUCAUCAUGCCUCAAAUCCAAAUAGCCCUCUGUCCAAUCCAAUGAUUCCUGGAAUUGGCCCACCACCGGGUGGUCCUAGAAAUAUGGGACCCACUUCCAGCCCAAUGCAUAGGCCAAUGCUGUCCCCUCAUAUCCAUCCUCCAACAACUCCAACGAUGCCUGGAAAUCCUCCAGGCUUACUACCCCCUCCACCGCCAGGAGUUCCUUUGCCCAGCCUGCCUUUCCCUCCUGUAAGCAUGAUGCCAAAUGGUCCUAUGCCCAUGCCACAGAUGAUGAACUUUGGUUUGCCAUCUCUUGCCCCAUUAGUGCCACCACCAACCCUCUUAGUGCCAUAUCCUGUUAUCGUUCCACUUCCUGUCCCAAUCCCAAUUCCAAUCCCCAUUCCUCACAUCAAUGAUUCCAAGCCCCCAAAUGGCUUCUCGAGCAAUGGGGAAAGCUUCAUUCCAAAUACACCCAACGACACAACAGGGGCUAAGCCAACAAGUAACUCUGUGUCCCCCAGGAAUUCUAAACAAGGCCCUUCCAAGCCUUCUGAUUCAUCACCAAGCUGCUCAGGCCAGUCCUUAAAUCAAACCCAAGUGCAUCAGCAGCACAGUAAAAAUGAAGUUGUUGACUUGACUGUGAGAUCGAGUAGUCCUGUGAACAACAAGUUUGGUUUUCCUACAGUACUACAGGGACCACAGGAUGGUGUGAUAGACUUAACUGUAGGUCACAGGUCUAGACUACACAAUGUUAUCCACAGGGCUUUGUAUGCUGAAGUCAAAGUUGAACAUGAAGCUAGCAGCGUUGUGAAUCUGACUUCGGGUAGCUCAGAUAAAAGGAACUGCAGUGACUGCAGGAAAAAUUGCAGCCCCACCGAAACAAAGACAUUAUCGGGUGGUGAUCCAUCUCACUGUGGCUCCCUCCCAGUUGCCUCUGGCACUCCAGAAAAUGCUGCAGCUGCAGCCUGCAAUGUCAUUGUGAAUGGCACAAAAGGCCCCGAGGUUUCUAAGAACUCAGAAACACCCCAAGAGCAGAAAAAGACUCAGCUUCAACCCUGUUUGCUGGAGGACCUGCCAGUGAGUGAGCUGGAAUCCGUUAAGGAGAAUAACUGUACAUCAAACUGUCGCCGAGAAGGAGAGUCUGGUAAGAAGACGGGGGAAGAGUCUCUCUUUGGGGGAGACAAACAAGAUCCCAACCUUAACAAUCCGGCCGAUGAGGAUCAUGCAUAUGCUUUGCGGAUGCUACCCAAAGCAGGCUGCGUCAUCCAGCCUGUACCCAGACCAGCGGACAAGACUGCUAUUGGACCCUGCAUUAUUUCAACGCCAAUUCUCAGCACAGGGCCAGAAGAUCUAGAGCCACCACUGAAAAGGAGGUGUCUCCGAAUUCGAAAUCAGAAUAAGUAAAGGUACCAUGUGGGAACUGUUGUACCCCUUGUGAAAGGUGUUUGUGGCUGGAAAUAUAUUUGUGCACCAGAAAAGGAAUGAAAAAGGAAUGCUGAUAUUGACAGGGUACCUUGCAUGGAGAAAGGGAGCCGAGCAAUCAGUGCUACUUUACCAGACAACAGCUGGUCCACUCACCACCAUAUCUGGUCAGAAAUCAAGAAAACAAAGCCAUUUCCCAUCAUUAUUUCUCUCAGAGGGAAGGCUAAAACCCUAGGGUGCCUUUGGGUCAGAAGACUGUAAGCACAUCAUGGACCCCUCAAAAGUACUCUCAGCAUUCCGAUGACCACGCCCCCUUCUCCCUAAACCUUUGUUUUUUUGCCGAUGGAGGAUUUUCCUCUGAUUCUAAAGCCACAUGGACCAAUGUAUGUACUUUUUUUUUUCCUCAUAGACUUCAAGGUUCAAAUAUUUGAAGUUGGACGAUGAAAUGGAUCCCCCCCCCAAAAAAAACCUGCUGUGGUUUUGCUGCUACAUGAAGAAUUGUGAUUUGCAUUGUAUGGUUUUGGACCUAUUCGCGUUGUAAUGGGAGGCGGUUGAAGGGGCUAUACUGGAGUAUUGACACUUCAGAGUCAUCUCUAUCUCCUACCCAUGAUGCACUUUUAAAUGAAGAGUUAUUAGAAUAUUUUAUUGGCUAAUAUACUUUUUCUGUGUUAUUUUUACAAAGGCCACCUUUAUCCUUUUUAAUGCCAUAUUUUCAGUGUUACACUUUUUCUGGCUUUUAAUUUUAAUUUUAAUUUUUUAAAUUUUGAUUUGACAGAUGUAAGAAGCAGCAUGAAUAGUUUAUACUGUGGUUUUUCAAGAGACUGAAUGCCAAGAGAACUCAGUAAAUGUUUAUUCCUCUCGGUUUUCUCUUUCAAUUCCCCUAAAAUAGCACCCCUUUUGGGAACAGAGCAAGAGUGUUGAACUAAAGACCAAAAAAAAAAAAAAGGAUCCCCUCAAGGUGUAAAACUAUCCAGGGGAAAUAUUUGCUGGGUGUUAUGAAAGACUUGGAUGAAAUUUCAACCCUGAUGGUUUUGCAGUGAUCCAGGAAGCCAGUGAGACAAUCUCUCCAGAUGUAAAGCUCUUUCAUGAUAAUUAGAAAGGUAUGGCCAAGCCAAUGAAAACACGGGGGUAAAGUGAGAAGCAAGUCCCCAUGAUUUUGUUUCACUAUUUGCUUUCUCCUGUCAUGGUUAAAAGAAAUGUGCAAUCUGAUUCUCAGUUGGUGGGUGGAGGAUAACAGGGUAGGAUUUACUUGUGUGCACUUGUAUAGUUGUAGCCAAGAAUCCAAAAGUACACUAGAGCACUGAUUUGGUAAAACAAUUGGGAAGUAUCCCAGUUUGGACAAAAUACUAAGGGGGGAAAAUUGAGGGGGGAAAAAUACGUUCAAAUCACCUUGUGAUCCAGUGUAACUGUUUACUAACUUGAAUAAAGCAAUUGUUCACACAAUAGUGAUCAGAGUGCACCUUCACUAUAAGGCUAUUGUGUUUAGCAAAAGGGAAAACAUUUGGGAAGAUUGUGAUUCAAAGAGCUUGGGAGCAGGGUCUUAAAUUAAAGCCAAUUAAAUCAGAACUUUGUAGCGAUGGUGCACUGACGGUACUUUGUACAUACUGUAUUUCUAUAUUUUUCCUUUGUACAGAUUCACUUAAGUCAAGCUACUGUUUUACAGGGGCUCCUUAUUUAUUAGGUCUGUGAAGGCUUGGAAAAUUACACCCAACAAGCAAAUUCACUUUGAUUAAAAAAAAAAACAAAUACGAGAAAAAAAAAUAGAUGUGUGGGAGGGAGGGCAGAGGGUCAGUGGAUGAGCUCAUGAACCCAUGGAUUCUCAAAACCUAACGAAGGCAAAUUUCUAUGGAAAAUAUGAAGCAUUUUUAAGAUGCUUCUUGUUGUUCUUUUUUCUUCUCCCUGACUGGUGUCAGAUUUAAUAAAACAAAAUAAAUCUCCAAGUAAAAAUGUA